GAUGUGCUCACAUGGUCGAGCACAAGCCUAACAAGCAUGAGGCCCUGAGUUCAAAUCUCAGUGCCAUCA
rnacentral:tRNA from 1 species